rnacentral:rRNA from 1 species
GGUUGAUCCUGCCGGACCUGACUGCUAUCGGAUUGAUACUAAGCCAUGUGAGUCAUUGUAGCAAUACAAGGCAGACGGCUCAGUAACACGUAGCCAACCUACCCUAUGGACGGGGAUAACCUCGGGAAACUGAGGAUAAACCCCGAUAGAUCAUUAUGCCUGGAACGGUUUAUGGUCCAAAUGAUUCGUCGCCGUAGGAUGGGACUGCGGCCUAUCAGCUUGUUGGUGAGGUAAUGGCCCACCAAGGCUAUUACAGGUACGGGCUCUGAGAGGAGAAGCCUGGAGAUGGGUACUGAGACACGGACCCAGGCCCUAUGGGGCGCAGCAGGCGAGAAAACUUUGCAAUGUGCGCAAGCACGACAAGGUUAAUCCGAGUGAUUCCUGCUAAAGGAAUCUUUUGCUAGUCCUAAAAACACUAGCGAAUAAGGGGUGGGCAAGUUCUGGUGUCAGCCGCCGCGGUAAAACCAGCACCUCAAGUGGUCAGGAGGAUUAUUGGGCCUAAAGCAUCCGUAGCCUGCCCUGUAAGUUUCCGGUUAAAUCCAUUAGCUCAACUGAUGGGCCGCCGGAAAAACUGCAAAGCUAGGGAGUGGGAGAGGUAGACGGUACUCGGUAGGAAGGGGUAAAAUCCUUUGAUCUAUUGAUGACCACCAGUGGCGAAGGCGGUCUACCAGAACACGUUCGACGGUGAGGGAUGAAAGCUGGGGGAGCAAACCGGAUUAGAUACCCGGGUAGUCCCAGCUGUAAACGAUGCAGACUCGGUGAUGCCCUGGCUUGUGGCCAGUGCAGUGCCGC